UACGUGGGGGGCGAGCGUUGUUCGGAAUUAUUGGGCGUAAAGGGCGCGUAGGCGGUCGGAUAAGUCUUGUGUGAAAUCUUCGGGCUCAACUCGGAGUCUGCACAGGAAACUAUCUGGCUUGAGUGUGGGAGAGGUGAGUGGAAUUCCUGGUGUAGCGGUGAAAUGCGUAGAUAUCAGGAGGAACACCUGUGGCGAAAGCGGCUCACUGGACCACAACUGACGCUGAGGCGCGAAAGCUAGGGGAGCAAACAGG
rnacentral:rRNA from 1 species